rnacentral:rRNA from 1 species
UACAGAGGGUGCAAGCGUUAAACGGAAUUACUGGGCGUAAAGCGCGCGUAGGUGGUUUGUUAAGUUGGAUGUGAAAUCCCCGGGCUCAACCUGGGAACUGCAUUCAAAACUGACUGACUAGAGUAUGGUAGAGGGUGGUGGAAUUUCCUGUGUAGCGGUGAAAUGCGUAGAUAUAGGAAGGAACACCAGUGGCGGAGGCGACCACCUGGACUAAUACUGACACUGAGGUGCGAAAGCGUGGGGAGCAAACAGG